rnacentral:rRNA from 1 species
UGGCGUGCUCACCACUGCAUUGUCGAACGCGAAGCCCUUCGGGGGCAUGUAGAGUGGCGCACGGGUGAUACCUAGGUAAUCUACCUUUGGAUUGGGAAUAACAAUCGGAAACGGUUGCUAAUACCGAAUAAUGCAGCGGCACCUAAUGGUGACAGUUGUUAAAGCGGGGGAUCGCAAGACCUCGCGUCUAAAGAGGAGCCUGCGGCGGAUUAGCUAGUUGGUAGGGUAACGGCUUACCAAGGCGAUGAUCCGUAGCCGGCCUGAGAGGGCGGUCGGCCACACUGACACUGACAUACGGGUCAGACUCCUACGGGAGGCAGCAGUCGGGAAUUUUGGGCAAUGGGCGAAAGCCUGACCCAGCAACGCCGCGUGAAGGAUGAAAUCCUUCGGGAUGUAAACUUCGCAAGAACGGGAAGAAUAAAGUAAGGGUUAAUAUCUCUUACGAUGACGGUACUGUUUGUAAGCUCCGGCUAACUCCGUGCCAGCAGCCGCGGUAAUACGGGGGGAGCAAGCGUUGUUCCGGAUUUACUGGGCGUAAAGGGCGCGUAGGCGGCCACCGCAAGUCGACUGUGAAAUCUCCGGGCUUAACCCGGAACGGUCAGCCGAUACUGCGGGGCUAGAGUGCAGAAGGGGCAACUGGAAUUCUCGGUGUAGC